GUGGGUUGAUUAUGGUUCACGAAGGAAAUCGAGCUAACUAAUAAAUAAUUGUAGUUAUUGAAUCUAUGUGUUGCAGUACAUAGGACAUAUUGUUAGUUAGGGGUGAUAGGCCUUACAAGAUUUCCGAUAUCUUGUUUUUUAGGAAACAUAUUAAGUAUAUUGUCAACUUUGAAGUGCUAAGGUUUCAGAGAGGUACUAAAAUUUGUUAUUGGACUUGUAAUUUAUUUAACGGUAAUUGCUUAAGCACAUAAUAAUAUUAAUUAAUAUAUAGUUGUACAUAAUACUAAAAUGUGCAUUGUACUUCAUGUUGCACUAUUACUGUUAAUAUAAGUAUAUAAGCAUAACCUUAAUAGGAACUCGGCAAAAUUGUUGUUCAUCUGUUUAUCAAAAACAUAGCUAAAUGUAUUACAUAUUUAGUUUCUUCUGCUCAAUGGUUUAACUAAAUAGCCGCAGUACCCUGACUGUGCAAAGGUAGCAUAAUCAUUUGGCCUAUAAUUGAAGUCUGGCAUGAAAGAAUCAAUGGGUAACUACUGUCUUUUAAGGUUUAAAGAAAUUAUUUAGUAGGUGAAAAUACCUAUCUAUAAACAAUAGACGAGAAGACCCUAGAAAUUUUAUAUAAGAUAAUAUAGGCUGUUGUUAUUAUUUUGUUGGGGCGACAGAAUAACAAAUAACUUAUUUUAUUUAUUAGAACUAUGUUUUGGGCUAAAUUAAAUUACUCUAGGGAUAACAGCAUAAUUUAUUAGAGUUUGUGACCUCGAUGUUGGACUAGGGUUUAUAUUGUUUAGAAGAUAAUAUAAUCAGCUCUGUUCGAGCUUUAGUCCCUACAUGAUCUGAGUUCAGACCGGC
rnacentral:rRNA from 1 species